UUAAGCGACUAAGCGUACACGGUGGAUGCCCUGGCAGUCAGAGGCGAUGAAGGACGUGCUAAUCUGCGAAAAGCGUCGGUAAGGUGAUAUGAACCGUUAUAGCCGGCGAUGUCCGAAUGGGGAAACCCAGUGCAAUUCGUUGCACUAUCGUUAACUGAAUACAUAGGUUAACGAGGCGAACCGGGGGAACUGAAACAUCUAAGUACCCCGAGGAAAAGAAAUCAACCGAGAUUCCCCCAGUAGCGGCGAGCGAACGGGGAGCAGCCCGGAGUCUGAAUCAGCUUGUGUGUUAGUGGAAGCGUCUGGAAAGUCGCAGGGUACAGGGUGAUACUCCCGUACACUAAAACACACAGGCUGUGAACUCGAAGAGUAGGGCGGGACACGUGGUAUCCUGUCUGAAUAUGGGGGGACCAUCCUCCAAGGCUAAAUACUCCUGACUGACCGAUAGUGAACCAGUACCGUGAGGGAAAGGCGAAAAGAACCCCGGCGAGGGGAGUGAAAAAGAACCUGAAACYGUGUACGUACAAGCAGUAGGAGCCCACUAGUUGGGUGACUGCGUACCUUUUGUAUAAUGGGUCAGCGACUUAUAUUCUGUAGCAAGGUUAACCGUAUAGGGGAGCCGCAGGGAAACCGAGUCUUAACUGGGCGUUAAGUUGCAGGGUAUAGACCCGAAACCCGGUGAUCUAGCCAUGGGCAGGUUGAAGGUUGGGUAACACUAACUGGAGGACCGAACCGACUAAUGUUGAAAAAUUAGCGGAUGACUUGUGGCUGGGGGUGAAAGGCCAAUCAAACCGGGAGAUAGCUGGUUCUCCCCGAAAGCUAUUUAGGUAGCGCCUCGUGAAUUCAUCUUCGGGGGUAGAGCACUGUUUCGGCUAGGGGGUCAUCCCGACUUACCAACCCGAUGCAAACUACGAAUACCGAAGAAUGUUAUCACGGGAGACACACGGCGGGUGCUAACGUCCGUCGUGAAGAGGGAAACAACCCAGACCGCCAGCUAAGGUCCCAAAGUCAUGGUUAAGUGGGAAACGAUGUGGGAAGGCCCAGACAGCCAGGAUGUUGGCUUAGAAGCAGCCAUCAUUUAAAGAAAGCGUAAUAGCUCACUGGUCGAGUCGGCCUGCGCGGAAGAUGUAACGGGGCUAAACCAUGCACCGAAGCUGCGGCAGCGACACUAUGUGUUGUUGGGUAGGGGAGCGUUCUGUAAGCCGUUGAAGGUGGCCUGUGAGGGUUGCUGGAGGUAUCAGAAGUGCGAAUGCUGACAUAAGUAACGAUAAUGCGGGUGAAAAACCCGCACGCCGGAAGACCAAGGGUUCCUGUCCAACGUUAAUCGGGGCAGGGUGAGUCGACCCCUAAGGCGAGGCCGAAAGGCGUAGUCGAUGGGAAACAGGUUAAUAUUCCUGUACUUGGUGUUACUGCGAAGGGGGGACGGAGAAGGCUAUGUUGGCCGGGCGACGGUUGUCCCGGUUUAAGCAUGUAGGCGGAUGUUCCAGGUAAAUCCGGAACGUCACUAACGCUGAGGUGUGAUGACGAGGCACUACGGUGCUGAAGUGACAAAUGCCCUGCUUCCAGGAAAAGCCUCUAAGCAUCAGGUAACAUCAAAUCGUACCCCAAACCGACACAGGUGGUCAGGUAGAGAAUACCAAGGCGCUUGAGAGAACUCGGGUGAAGGAACUAGGCAAAAUGGUGCCGUAACUUCGGGAGAAGGCACGCUGAUGGUAGGUGAAGUGACUUGCUCAUGGAGCUGAAAUCAGUCGAAGAUACCAGCUGGCUGCAACUGUUUAUUAAAAACACAGCACUGUGCAAACACGAAAGUGGACGUAUACGGUGUGACGCCUGCCCGGUGCCGGAAGGUUAAUUGAUGGGGUUAUCCUCACGGAGAAGCUCUUGAUCGAAGCCCCGGUAAACGGCGGCCGUAACUAUAACGGUCCUAAGGUAGCGAAAUUCCUUGUCGGGUAAGUUCCGACCUGCACGAAUGGCGUAAUGAUGGCCAGGCUGUCUCCACCCGAGACUCAGUGAAAUUGAACUCGCUGUGAAGAUGCAGUGUACCCGCGGCAAGACGGAAAGACCCCGUGAACCUUUACUAUAGCUUGACACUGAACACUGGUCCUUGAUGUGUAGGAUAGGUGGGAGGCUUUGAAGUGUGGACGCCAGUCUGCAUGGAGCCGUCCUUGAAAUACCACCCUUUAAUGGCUGGUGUUCUAACGUGGGCCCCUAAUCGGGGUUGCGGACAGUGUCUGGUGGGUAGUUUGACUGGGGCGGUCUCCUCCUAAAGAGUAACGGAGGAGCACGAAGGUCAGCUAAUCCUGGUCGGACAUCAGGAGGUUAGUGCAAUGGCAUAAGCUGGCUUGACUGCGAGCGUGACGGCGCGAGCAGGUGCGAAAGCAGGUCAUAGUGAUCCGGUGGUUCUGAAUGGAAGGGCCAUCGCUCAACGGAUAAAAGGUACUCCGGGGAUAACAGGCUGAUACCGCCCAAGAGUUCAUAUCGACGGCGGUGUUUGGCACCUCGAUGUCGGCUCAUCACAUCCUGGGGCUGAAGUAGGUCCCAAGGGUAUGGCUGUUCGCCAUUUAAAGUGGUACGCGAGCUGGGUUUAGAACGUCGUGAGACAGUUCGGUCCCUAUCUGCCGUGGGCGCUGGAGAAUUGAGGGGGGCUGCUCCUAGUACGAGAGGACCGGAGUGGACGCAUCACUGGUGUUCGGGUUGUCAUGCCAAUGGCAUUGCCCGGUAGCUAAAUGCGGAAGAGAUAAGUGCUGAAAGCAUCUAAGCACGAAACUUGCCCCGAGAUGAGUUCUCCCUGACUCCUUGAGAGUCCUGAAGGAACGUUGAAGACGACGACGUUGAUAGGCCGGGUGUGUAAGCGCAGCGAUGCGUUGAGCUAACCGGUACUAAUGAACCGUGAGGCUUAACCUU
rnacentral:rRNA from 1 species